CAAAAAUAUAGACUUCUGUUUUUCAUUUUGAUGUUACCCCAUAUGUCUCAGACAUAAUUUUAUUUUUUUAUGGUUUGUUUAUUAUGGACCAGUCCUCAAGGUACCUUAAUUUCUUUCUUUUUUUAAAUUUUUUAUUUUUUAGAGAGAGAGAGCGAGCAUGAGUGGGGAAGAGGAGCAGAGAGAGAGAGAGAGAGAGAGAGAAUCUUAAGCAGACUCCAAGCGAAGCUCAAUGCCAUCACCUGGGAUCAUGACCAGAGCUGAAAUCAAGACUCAAAUUCUCAACCAACGGAGAUACCCAGGCACCCCUAAGAGCUCAACAGCGUGGAUGGGCCCAUGGAAUGCUAAUCACUGUCCGGACAGACCCUGUGGACAUUUCAAGGAUGCCAACACCACGGUGGCAUCUGUCACGGAAACAGAUGCUAUUUGCAUCUGUUUCCUGUGACAGUCACUGAAGAUGGCAGAGGAAAAAAAAUUCACACAGGCCCGCUCAAACAUUCAAAAACAUAUUUGGCUUGUCAAUCCGCUUUUUAAAAAUUAUUGUAAGAGAGGAGAUUUAUAGGAAACACAAAUUUUAAGCAACCAAGAAAUAUGUUUUUUUUCAGAAUUUACCUGUGAAUACAUAUAAUGUGUCUACUGUGUAAUCACUUGCUCUCAGUGAAUUCUAAAAGACAGUAUUUUUAAGCAAAAGGAGAAGGGAAAGGAAAUGAUAGUUCUUUCACUUUAAAACGUGCAUUAGAGUUAUUGACCAAAUUUAUCAUUUAUUGUGUAUUUGCAAAUCAGUUUCUGUAAGAUAUGUUUACAUAGAAUAAUAUUGUACCUUCCAUUUUUAAAGUUCAUUUUUUUCCUAAUGGCCUUGGUAACUCAGCUCCAACCCCAUAGGAAAUUUUUUUGUUAAUAUUUUUAGUUUGUUUGUUUAUUUAUUUAUUUAUUUAUUUAGAGAGAGGGCGCUCAAGUGGGGGGAGGGGCAGAGAGAGAAGGAGAGAGAGAAUCCCAAGCAGGCUCUGCACCAUCAACGCAGAGCCCGACACGGGGCCCGAACCCACGAA